rnacentral:rRNA from 1 species
UACGGAGGGUGCAAGCGUUAAUCGGAAUUACUGGGCGUAAAGCGCACGCAGGCGGUCUGUCAAGUCGGAUGUGAAAUCCCCGGGCUCAACCUGGGAACUGCAUUCGAAACUGGCAGGCUUGAGUCUUGUAGAGGGGGGUAGAAUUCCAGGUGUAGCGGUGAAAUGCGUAGAGAUCUGGAGGAAUACCGGUGGCGAAGGCGGCCCCCUGGACAAAGACUGACGCUCAGGUGCGAAAGCGUGGGGAGCAAACAGGAUUAGAUACCCUGGUAGUCCACGCCGUAAACGAUGUCUACUUGGAGGUUGUGCCCUUGAGGCGUGGCUUCCGGAGCUAACGCGUUAAGUAGACCGCCUGGGGAGUACGGCCGCAAGGUUAAAACUCAAAUGAAUUGACGGGGGCCCGCACAAGCGGUGGAGCAUGUGGUUUAAUUCGAU